GACGAGGGAUCCUAGCGUUGUUCGGAAUCAUUGGGCGUAAAGCGGGUGUAGGUGGCUUUGUAAGUCAGAUGUGAAAGCCCAGGGCUCAACCCUGGAAGUGCAUUUGAUACUGCGAAGCUUGAGUGCUAGAGAGGUUACUAGAAUUGUUGGUGUAGUGGUGAAAUACGUAGAUAUCAACAGGAAUACCGGUGGCGAAGGCGGGUAACUGGCUAGACACUGACACUCAGACCCGAAAGUGCGGGGAUCAAACAGG
rnacentral:rRNA from 1 species